rnacentral:rRNA from 1 species
UACGUAGGGCGCAAGCGUUGUCCGGAAUUAUUGGGCGUAAAGAGCUCGUAGGCGGCUUGUCACGUCGGGUGUGAAAGCCCGGGGCUCAACCUGGGAACUGCAUCCGAGACUGCAUUGCUAGAGUAUGGGAGAGGAAAGCGGAAUUUCUGGUGUAGCAGUGAAAUGCGUAGAUAUCAGAAGGAACAUCAGUGGCGAAGGCGGCUUUCUGGACCAGUACUGACGAUCAGGUGCGAAAGCGUGGGGAGCAAACAGG